UACGAAGGGUGCAAGCGUUACUCGGAAUUACUGGGCGUAAAGCGUGCGCAGGCGGCUUUGCAAGACAGAUGUGAAAUCCCACGGCUUAACCGUGGAACUGCUUGGUAUACUGGGUGUCUUGAGCCACUUAGGGGCUACCGGAACAAAUGGUGGAGCGGUGAAAUGCGUAGAUAUCAUUUGGAACGCCAAUGGUGAAAACAGGUAGCUGGGAGUGUGCUGACGCUGAGACACGAAAGCCAGGGGAGCAAACGGG
rnacentral:rRNA from 1 species